rnacentral:rRNA from 1 species
UACGUAGGGGGCAAGCGUUGUCCGGAAUCAUUGGGCGUAAAGAGCGUGUAGGCGGCCUGAUAAGUCCGCUGUGAAAUCUCGAGGCUCAACUUCGAGCUGUCGGUGGAAACUGUCUGGCUAGAGUCCGGAAGAGGAGAAUGGAAUUCCUGGUGUAGCGGUGAAAUGCGCAGAUAUCAGGAAGAACACCCGUGGCGAAGGCGGUUCUCUGGGACGGUACUGACGCUGAGACGCGAAAGCGUGGGGAGCGAACAGG